GACGAACGCUGGCGGCGUGCUUAACACAUGCAAGUCGAGCGGAAAGGCCCUGCUUUUGUGGGGUGCUCGAGUGGCGAACGGGUGAGUAACACGUGAGUAACCUGCCCUUGACUUUGGGAUAACUUCAGGAAACUGGGGCUAAUACCGGAUAGGAGCUCCUGCUGCAUGGUGGGGGUUGGAAAGUUUCGGCGGUUGGGGAUGGACUCGCGGUUUAUCAGCUUGUUGGUGGGGUAGUGGCUUACCAAGGCUUUGACGGGUAGCCGGCCUGAGAGGGUGACCGGCCACAUUGGGACUGAGAUACGGCCCAGACUCCUACGGGAGGCAGCAGUGGGGAAUAUUGCACAAUGGGCGGAAGCCUGAUGCAGCAACGCCGCGUGCGGGAUGACGGCCUUCGGGUUGUAAACCGCUUUCGCCUGUGACGAAGCGUGAGUGACGGUAAUGGGUAAAGAAGCACCGGCUAACUACGUG
rnacentral:rRNA from 1 species